rnacentral:rRNA from 1 species
GGAAUCUUCCACAAUGGGCGCAAGCCUGAUGGAGCAACGCCGCGUGUGUGAUGAAGGGUUUCGGCUCGUAAAACACUGUUGUAAGAGAAGAAUGACAUUGAGAGUAACUGUUCAAUGUGUGACGGUAUCUUACCAGAAAGGAACGGCUAAAUACGUGCCAC